rnacentral:rRNA from 1 species
GACGAACGCUGGCGGCGUGCCUAAUACAUGCAAGUCGAGCGAAGUUUUUCUGGUGCUUGCACUAGAAAAACUUAGCGGCGAACGGGUGAGUAACACGUAACGAACCUGCCUCAUAGACUGGGACUACUAUUGGAAACGAUAGCUAAUACCGGAUAACAGUAUUUCACGCAUGAGAGAUAUUUAAAAGUUGGUUAUGCUAACACUAUGAGAUGGCUUUGCGGUGCAUUAGCUAGUUGGUGGGGUAAAGGCCCACCAAGGCGGCGAUGCAUAGCCGACCGGAGAGGGUGAUCGCCCACACUGGGAGGGAGACGCGGCCCAGGCGCCUGCGGGAGGGAGCAGUAGGGUAUCGGACGCAAUGGUCGGGAGCCUGACGGAGCGAGGCCGCGUGAGUGAAGAAGAAUUUCGGUUCGUAAUGCUCUGUUGUUAGUGAAGAAUGGAUAUGGAGUAACUAGACGUGUAAGUGACGGUACCUAACAAGAAAGCCACGGCUAACUACGUG